GACGAACGCUGGCGGCGUGCUUAACACAUGCAAGUCGAACGGAAAGGCCCUGCUUUUGUGGGGUGCUCGAGUGGCGAACGGGUGAGUAACACGUGAGUAACCUGCCCUUGACUUUGGGAUAACUUCAGGAAACUGGGGCUAAUACCGGAUAGGAGCUCCUGCUGCAUGGUGGGGGUUGGAAAGUUUCGGCGGUUGGGGAUGGACUCGCGGCUUAUCAGCUUGUUGGUGGGGUAGUGGCUUACCAAGGCUUUGACGGGUAGCCGGCCUGAGAGGGUGACCGGCCACAUUGGGACUGAGAUACGGCCCAGACUCCUACGGGAGGAAGCAGUGGGGAAUAUUGCACAAUGGGCGGAAGCCUGAUGCAGCAACGCCGCGUGCGGGAUGAAGGCCUUCGGGUUGUAAACCGCUUUCGCCUGUGACGAAGCGUGAGUGACGGUAAUGGGUAAAGAAGCACCGGCUAACUACGUG
rnacentral:rRNA from 1 species